ACUCCUACGGGAGGCAGCAGUGGGGGAAGUCUUGGACAAUGGGGGCGAACCCUGAUCCAGCCAUGCCGCGUGAGUGAUGAAGGCCUUAGGUCGUAAAGCUCUUUCGCCUGUGAUGAUAAUGACAGUAGCAGGUAAAGAAACCCCGGCUAACUCCGUGCCAGCAGCCGCGGUAAUACGGAGGGGUUAGCGUUGUUCGGAAUUACUGGGGCGUAAAGCGCGCGUAGGCGGAUUAGUCAGUUAGAGGUGAAAUCCCAGGGCUCAACCCUGGAACUGCCUUUAAUACUGCUAGUCUUGAGUUCGAGAGAGGUGAGUGGAAUUCCGAGUGUAGAGGUGAAAUUCGUAGAUAUUCGGAGGAACACCAGUGGCGAAGGCGGCUCACUGGCUCGAUACUGACGCUGAGGUGCGAAAGUGUGGGGAGCAAACAGGAUUAGAUACCCUGGUAGGAUAGCG
rnacentral:rRNA from 1 species